GGAGAGAUAGCUCAGUGGUUAAGAGCACUGACUGCUCUUCCAGAGGUCCUGAGUGCAAAUCCCAGCAACUACA
rnacentral:tRNA from 1 species